UCAUUGAGCGUUGUACCAGCAAGGGAUACAAGCCAGAUCAGGUUAAUGAGUGCAUUGAAGAGUAUGAAGAGCUGAUGUCUGGUUAACCAAGCUCGUACCAAGCUGACCUUCGUCUAAAUGUUAAGAAGUGAUUUGUAUGUUAGCAUCAGUUGUCAGGAAUUCUGAAUUAAGAGAAUGUUAAAUUUUCUUGCAAAUAAUAUUUGAUAACUGAAAAGAGUAGGUUUACAGUUGAUUUAUUUUUAAUUUGUGAAUAUAUUUUACCACUUUGUAUACUCGGAAAUAAAAAACUACCAUUUCUA